rnacentral:rRNA from 1 species
UACGAAGGGGGCUAGCGUUGCUCGGAAUUACUGGGCGUAAAGGGCGCGUAGGCGGACGACUUAGUCAGAGGUAAAAGCCCAGGGCUCAACCUUGGAAUCGCCUUUGAUACUGGUCGUCUUGAGUACGGGAGAGGUGAGUGGAACUCCGAGUGUAGAGGUGAAAUUCGUAGAUAUUCGGAAGAACACCAGUGGCGAAGGCGACUCACUGGCCCGUUACUGACGCUGAGGCGCGAAAGCGUGGGGAGCAAACAGG